GAGUUUGAUCAUGGCUCAGGAUGAACGCUGGCGGCGUGCCUAAUACAUGCAAGUCGAGCGAACAGACGAGGAGCUUGCUCCUCUGACGUUAGCGGCGGACGGGUGAGUAACACGUGGAUAACCUACCUAUAAGACUGGGAUAACUUCGGGAAACCGGAGCUAAUACCGAAUAAUAUAUUGAACCGCAUGGUUCAAUAGUGAAAAACGGUUUUGCUGUCACUUAUAGAUGGAUCCGCGCCGCAUUAGCUAGUUGGUAGGGUAACGGCUUACCAAGGCGACGAUGCGUAGCCGACCUGAGAGGGUGAUCGGCCACACUGGAACUGAGACACGGUCCAGACUCCUACGGGAGGCAGCAGUAGGGAAUCUUCCGCAAUGGGCGAAAGCCUGACGGAGCAACGCCGCGUGAGUGAUGAAGGUCUUCGGAUCGUAAAACUCUGUUAUUAGGGAAGAACAAAUGUGUAAGUAACUAUGCACGUCUUGACGGUACCUAAUCAGAAGCCACGGCUAACUACGU
rnacentral:rRNA from 1 species